UACGUAGGGUGCGAGCGUUAAUCGGAAUUACUGGGCGUAAAGCGUGCGCAGGCGGUUCGUUAUGUCCGAUGUGAAAGCCCCGAGCUCAACUUGGGAAUGGCAUUGGAAACUGGCGGGCUGGAGUGUGGCAGAGGGGGGGUGGAAUUCCACGUGUAGCAGUGAAAUGCGUAGAGAUGUGGAGGAACACCGAUGGCGAAGGCAGCCCCCUGGGUCAAGAUUGACGCUCAUGCACGAAAGCGUGGGGAGCAAACAGG
rnacentral:rRNA from 1 species